UGUGUGUGUCUGUGUGUUUGUGUGUGUGUGAUAUGUGUGUGUCUGUCUGUGUGUGUGUUUGUAUGUAUGUGUCUGCCUGUGUGUGCAUGUGUGUGAUGUGUGUGUGCAUGUGUGUGUGUGAUAUGUGUGUGUGCAUGUGUGUGUGUGUGCAUGUGUGUGUCUGUAUCUGUGUGUGAUGUGUGUGCAUGUGUGUGUGUCUGUAUGUGUGUGUGUGCAUGUGUGUGUGUCUGUAUGUGUGUGUGAUGUGUGUCUGUAUGUGUGUGUGAUGUGUGUGUGCAUGUGUGUGUCUGUAUGUGUGUUUGUGUGUGUGUGCAUGUGUGUGUGCGUCUGUGUGUGUAUGUGUGUGUGUCUGUGUGUGUGUGAUACAGGGUCUGGACUUGUUUGGGGGCGGAGCUUAUCAAUGCAGACAGAGGUGAAGGUUCCUCCAGAUGUUCUUCAUGUUUAUGUCUGCACGCGAAUCUGCCUGUUCCAGCAGUGGUGGAUUAUUUCAGUAAAAGAGCGAGGACGCCACAUCAGAUCAUCUUUCAGACAGGGAAACAGAGUGGAGUCAAAACAUUACUGAUGUCAGAAGG